rnacentral:lncRNA from 1 species
UUUUAGUGUAGGAAAGUUGGAUGGCUUGUAGUCAGGGGGAGACUCAUUUUUCUUUCUAGGAAUUUCGGUUAUUGAGCGUGUGUUCAGGGGGAGAAUCAUUUUUCGUUUUGAAAUGUUUUGAAUUCGGUUAUGUAUUCAGUUAUGCAUUAAAACGAUCUUUGAAUCUAUGCUAUGGUUCUAAGUAACUAAUUAGAACUAAUGGUUGUCUAAGGAUUGGGUUUGUUUCUCUGUGUUGUCGUUUUGUCUCAGGUGCUUGGUGAUCAUCGACACUCAAAAAGGGGGAGAUUUUUGAGACUUGAAAUCUGCUGAAGUGUUCAACCGAAACAAUGUUAUCAAGCGUGAACACGGGAGUCAUUUGAAUGUUAAAACAUGACGUGGAUUAUGAAGAUUGAAUCACUCCAAGGAUAAGCAUCAGAUCGGGAGAUUCUAGGAAGUAGAAUGAAAGAUUUGUAGUUAUCGUCUAACAAGAUCAGAUUGCCUAGAUAUAUAAUAGGUGAUGCUGAGUCUUGAUGGAGAUGCGCUUUUUGGAGAGUUAGUAAUUUGUGUGUGAGAGAGAGAUUGUGUUAAUCUAGUUCUCGUAGCUUUAGAAGUUGGCAGCGUUGAUUCACAGGUUGUGAAGUCAAGUAAACCUGAUUAAACAGAUUAGGUAUAAUUUGUUUAA